GGGUUGUGAGGUUAAGCGACUAAGCGUACACGGUGGAUGCCCUGGCAGUCAGAGGCGAUGAAGGGCGUGCUAAUCUGCGAUAAGCGCCGGUAAGGUGAUAUGAACCGUUAUAACCGGCGAUACCCGAAUGGGGAAACCCAGUGUGAUUCGUCACACUAUCAUUAACUGAAUCCAUAGGUUAAUGAGGCGAACCGGGGGAACUGAAACAUCUAAGUACCCCGAGGAAAAGAAAUCAACCGAGAUUCCCCCAGUAGCGGCGAGCGAACGGGGAGGAGCCCAGAGCCUGAAUCAGCAUGUGUGUUAGUGGAAGCGUCUGGAAAGGCGCGCGAUACAGGGUGACAGCCCCGUACACAAAAGCGCAUGUGCUGUGAGCUCGAUGAGUAGGGCGGGACACGUGGUAUCCUGUCUGAAUAUGGGGGGACCAUCCUCCAAGGCUAAAUACUCCUGACUGACCGAUAGUGAACCAGUACCGUGAGGGAAAGGCGAAAAGAACCCCGGCGAGGGGAGUGAAAAAGAACCUGAAACCGUGUACGUACAAGCAGUGGGAGCNNGUGACUGCGUACCUUUUGUAUAAUGGGUCAGCGACUUAUAUUCUGUAGCAAGGUUAACCGUAUAGGGGAGCCGGAGGGAAACCGAGUCUUAACCGGGCGUUAAGUUGCAGGGUAUAGACCCGAAACCCGGUGAUCUAGCCAUGGGCAGGUUGAAGGUUGGGUAACACUAACUGGAGGACCGAACCGACUAAUGUUGAAAAAUUAGCGGAUGACCUGUGGCUGGGGGUGAAAGGCCAAUCAAACCGGGAGAUAGCUGGUUCUCCCCGAAAGCUAUUUAGGUAGCGCCUCGUGAAUUCAUCUCCGGGGGUAGAGCACUGUUUCGGCUAGGGGGCCAUCCCGGCUUACCAACCCGAUGCAAACUGCGAAUACCGGAGAAUGUUAUCACGGGAGACACACGGCGGGUGCUAACGUCCGUCGUGAAGAGGGAAACAACCCAGACCGCCAGCUAAGGUCCCAAAGUCAUGGUUAAGUGGGAAACGAUGUGGGAAGGCCCAGACAGCCAGGAUGUUGGCUUAGAAGCAGCCAUCAUUUAAAGAAAGCGUAAUAGCUCACUGGUCGAGUCGGCCUGCGCGGAAGAUGUAACGGGGCUAAACCAUGCACCGAAGCUGCGGCAGCGANNNNNNNNNNNNNNNNNNNNNNNNNNNNNNNNNNNNNNNNNNNNNNNNNNNNNNNNNNNNNNNNNUGCUGGAGGUAUCAGAAGUGCGAAUGCUGACAUAAGUAACGAUAAAGCGGGUGAAAAGCCCGCUCGCCGGAAGACCAAGGGUUCCUGUCCAACGUUAAUCGGGGCAGGGUGAGUCGACCCCUAAGGCGAGGCCGAAAGGCGUAGUCGAUGGGAAACGGGUUAAUAUUCCCGUACUUGGUGUUACUGCGAAGGGGGGACGGAGAAGGCUAUGUUGGCCGGGCGACGGUUGUCCCGGUUUAAGCGUGUAGGUGUGUGUUCCAGGUAAAUCCGGUUCACUUUAACACUGAGGCGUGACGACGAGGCACUACGGUGCUGAAGCAACAAAUGCCCUGCUUCCAGGAAAAGCCUCUAAGCAUCAGGUAACACGAAAUCGUACCCCAAACCGACACAGGUGGUCAGGUAGAGAAUACCAAGGCGCUUGAGAGAACUCGGGUGAAGGAACUAGGCAAAAUGGUGCCGUAACUUCGGGAGAAGGCACGCUGACACGUAGGUGAAGUGAUUUACUCAUGGAGCUGAAGUCAGUCGAAGAUACCAGCUGGCUGCAACUGUUUAUUAAAAACACAGCACUGUGCAAACACGAAAGUGGACGUAUACGGUGUGACGCCUGCCCGGUGCCGGAAGGUUAAUUGAUGGGGUCAGCGCAAGCGAAGCUCCUGAUCGAAGCCCCGGUAAACGGCGGCCGUAACUAUAACGGUCCUAAGGUAGCGAAAUUCCUUGUCGGGUAAGUUCCGACCUGCACGAAUGGCGUAAUGAUGGCCAGGCUGUCUCCACCCGAGACUCAGUGAAAUUGAACUCGCUGUGAAGAUGCAGUGUACCCGCGGCAAGACGGAAAGACCCCGUGAACCUUUACUAUAGCUUGACACUGAACAUUGAGCCUUGAUGUGUAGGAUAGGUGGGAGGCUUUGAAGUGUGGACGCCAGUCUGCAUGGAGCCGACCUUGAAAUACCACCCUUUAAUGUUUGAUGUUCUAACGUGGACCCGUAAUCCGGGUUGCGGACAGUGUCUGGUGGGUAGUUUGACUGGGGCGGUCUCCUCCUAAAGAGUAACGGAGGAGCACGAAGGUUGGCUAAUCCUGGUCGGACAUCAGGAGGUUAGUGCAAUGGCAUAAGCCAGCUUGACUGCGAGCGUGACGGCGCGAGCAGGUGCGAAAGCAGGUCAUAGUGAUCCGGUGGUUCUGAAUGGAAGGGCCAUCGCUCAACGGAUAAAAGGUACUCCGGGGAUAACAGGCUGAUACCGCCCAAGAGUUCAUAUCGACGGCGGUGUUUGGCACCUCGAUGUCGGCUCAUCACAUCCUGGGGCUGAAGUAGGUCCCAAGGGUAUGGCUGUUCGCCAUUUAAAGUGGUACGCGAGCUGGGUUUAGAACGUCGUGAGACAGUUCGGUCCCUAUCUGCCGUGGGCGCUGGAGAACUGAGGGGGGCUGCUCCUAGUACGAGAGGACCGGAGUGGACGCAUCACUGGUGUUCGGGUUGUCAUGCCAAUGGCACUGCCCGGUAGCUAAAUGCGGAAGAGAUAAGUGCUGAAAGCAUCUAAGCACGAAACUUGCCCCGAGAUGAGUUCUCCCUGAGACUUAGAGUCUCCUGAAGGAACGUUGAAGACGACGACGUUGAUAGGCCGGGUGUGUAAGCGCAGCGAUGCGUUGAGCUAACCGGUACUAAUGAACCGUGAGGCUUAACCUUACAACGCCGAAG
rnacentral:rRNA from 1 species